rnacentral:rRNA from 1 species
AUUUGAAAGGGUUUGACUGUUCGUCAAUUAAAAGGUUACGUGAGCUGGGUUUAAGAACGUUGUAAAACAGUUCGGUUAAUAUCUACCACUAAUAACUGAAAAUAAAAACCUUAUAUCUAGUACGAAAGGAUCGAUAUGACAUUA